GAUGAACGCUGGCGGCGUGCCUAAUACAUGCAAGUCGAGCGAACAGACGAGGAGCUUGCUCCUCUGACGUUAGCGGCGGACGGGUGAGUAACACGUGGAUAACCUACCUAUAAGACUGGGAUCACUUCGGGAAACCGGCUCUAAUACCGGAUAAUAUACUGAACCGCAUUGUUCAAUAGUGAAAUUCGGCUUUUCUGUCACUUCUCGCUGCAUCUCGGCCGCAUUAGCUAGUUGGUAAGGUAAUGGCCUUUCAAGGCAACGAUGCGUAUCCGACCUGAGAGACUGAUCGACGGCAUGGGAACGGGAACACGGUCCAGACUCCUGAGGGAGGCAGCAGUAGGGUAUGGUACGCAAAAGGCGAAAGCCUGACGGAACAGCGCCGAGUGAGUGGUAGAGAUCUUCGGAUCGUAAAACUCUGUUAUUAGGGAAGAACAAAUGUGUAAGUAACUGUGCACGUCUUGACGGUACCUAAUCAGAAAGCCACGGCUAACUACGUG
rnacentral:rRNA from 1 species